rnacentral:tRNA from 1 species
GGGCUGGGGCUCAGUGGUAGAGCACUUGCCUAGCACGUGUGAGGCCCUGGGUUCAAUCCUCAGCACCACA